rnacentral:misc_RNA from 1 species
UCCUUCUCUCUCUCUCUCUCUCUUCGCCGUGCCUUCUGGGUUUGUCUUGGUUAUAGGAGAUGGAGUCAAAUCUCGAUGGUGAUUGGUUUGACGUGGUUUGUCCAUGAGAUGGUGGACGUGGACUUAGAUGGUGGACCUGGACUUUAUUCUUGAAAAAUUUUCCGAGAAAGAUUUCAAAUUUUAGAACCUAAUUAGAGGACGGACAUUGACCCAAAAUUUAUUUUUUUACCCAGUAUAUGAACAUAUGGCAGGGUUUAAGCUUAUAAACUAGUUAGCAAUUCAAGGAGAUAUUUAUUGAGAUCCAGUGCUUAAUUAGAAGUCCCACAAAUAUGGAGCCUGGAGUCUAUCGUGCAGCUAUCUCAGAUGAUCGGGAUUUCUUCACGAAACCCACCUUUGAUGCAAGUGUCGUGCUCCAGCAGGUUACAUCCCAGCAACAAGACACCAUUCUCCAUGUUGCAGCAAAAUUCAAACGGAAGGAGAUAGCGGCAAUGAUCACGAAUUUGAUACCAUCACUUGUGUACAAAAAAAAUUCAAACGGUGACACCCCACUUCAUAUUACAGCGAGGUUAGGGAGUUUAGAGGUUGUACAGGUCCUAAUAAGUUAUGCCUGUUGUGAAAGGAUGGAACUUGAAGCCAACGAAAAUCUAUUGAGGAUGGUGAAUAUAGACAGUAACACAGCACUUCAUGAAGCUGCGAGGAAAGGUCACUUUGAGGUUGUGGUUUCAUUGAUUCAGAAGGAUCCAGGAUUGGCAAUGUUGACAAAUAAUGCAGGGGAAUCUCCACUAUUCCUCGCUGUGGAUAAAAUGCAUUUCAGAAUUGCCAGCUACAUCUUAGAAACUGUCCCAGGUUGCUCUUUCCAGGGAAGGAACAAUAUGAAUGCCUUGCAUGCAGCAGUCAUUCGCUCAUAUUUCAAUGGUGAAAAAUUGAACCUGGAUGUCACACAGUUCAGGAAUCCUCUCUUUUUUGUUGUCCACCUUUCAGUCAGGGACUGUAUCAGGUUCAUUCGCUUUGGAGUAACAAAAUUGCUCAGAAGGGACAUCCACCAGGACCAUGUUAAUCUUUCAGAUUUCAUUAAACAGUUGAUUAAAAAGCAUCCGUCUACUAUAUUAGAAGCCAACAACAUUGGAUGGACUCCUUUUCACUAUGCAGCAUACGCUGGCCAGGAAGCCAUUGUGAAAGAGUUGCUGUUAGCUGACAAUUCCAUAGCUUUCACUAAAAAUGGGGAGGGCAUGGCUGGCCUUCAUGUCGCUGCAAGAGAAGGGCACGUGCCUGUUCUGAAAAAGAUUGCAGAAACUUGUCCAGACAUUUGGGAUUUGAAAGACAACAAUGGCCGGACUGCUCUUCAUGUUGCAGCUGAAAGUGGAAAGGCAAACGCUGUCAAGUUUAUUUUGAAACAGGUCACUGAGGAUCAUAUAAAUGACCAAGAUAAUGAAGGAAACACAGCAUUGCAUCUAGCGACUUUGCAGGGACAUGGGGAGAUCUUUCUAUUGCUGACAAAUGAUAGAAGGGCAGACAAGACAAUCAUGAACAAGGAUUGUCUUGCUGUUGUGGACAUCAUUGAUUCAAGGAGGGUACUCAACUUUUUCAGACAGGGUUGGAUGAUAUUUCAAUUGUCAAUUGCUGGUGGUCUAGCAAGUUUAGAGCAAGGUCGCAACAAGAAAAUUGAAGCAAGAACAGAGCGUGAAAAGGGCGUUGUCGAAAAUCAUGGGGAUGAAGAGGUUGAAGAUAAAAGAUUAAAACCAGAGGGACCAGAAGUUUUAUCCUUUAACCAUCUUAGGAAUAUGGCUAGCACCAAUAUAUUGGUAUCAACUCUCAUAGCCACUGUCUCAUUUGCAGCAGCUUUCACUGUUCCUGGAGGAUUCAAAAAUGAGAAACCUGAUGAAGGCAUGCCAGUUUUUAUCAAGAAAGCAUCCUUUAGAGCAUUUGUGGUGGGUAAUACCAUAGCCUUUUCUUGCUCGAUUGCAUCGGUGAUUUUUCAUAAUUUCACUGCCUUGUUGGUGAAACGAAACACCAUUGCAUUCUGGACAUAUUUUGCAAUGGUAUUCUCCAGCUUUGCCAUCUGUGGGAUGUUUGUUGCUUUUAUUGCAGGCUCCUUUGCAGUGUUAGGUGAUUGUAGUGCAUUAGUUAUGGCGGUUCUCUUAAUUUGUUGUUUCUUGUUUGCUCUGCAGUUCCCUCCCCUAAUUUCAGUAGAUUUACUAACUAUAUGACCUUUCAUCACUUGUCGUCUUGUAAUACUCAAUAGUACUUCAUUAUUGCAUGUGAAGUAUGGGUGCAGGAUAGGUUUAAUUAUAUGAUUUUCAUAAUUAUGAUAUAUCAAGUUAGAGAUUGUAAGCUCCAAUUUGUAUCAUAAAAGUUUCAGAGUGACUUGACCAUGGUAGGAGUAUCCAUCUGCAGCCCAGUAACAAUAGAUAUGAUCAUCCUCUUGGAGUUGAUGGUGUUUUUCAAUCGCAUGUAAGCAGAGUUCUUCUCUUGUUUGAAUUGCUGCUGAUGGACGGAGACAUUUCUCUCUUCUAUUUCCAACUAAUUGAAGAUGGUCGCUAUCCCAUUUUUCAACUGCUGUUAAAAUUUUACAUAGACCAAGAAUCAUCCGCAAUGAAGUUCUGGUUCUGAGCUCGGACCAAGAAUCUGAUCCAAAUUAAUGACUGGUCAAUAGAGUGGAGAACAGAUUCUUGAAGCAUAUGCUACUAUUGCUUCAGACUACAAGUUUCAGCAAUUUAGAUUAUUUAUUUUAAUAUUUAGUUUGAAUUCAACAAUCUUGAUAUCUGAUUUUGUUUAAUUUGUAACAGUAUUUGCUAAAAAAGAUGCACCAUUUCUCCCUAGAAAUCAUGUGAGAUUUUUCUCUAAAAAUAGCUUUGCACCACUGAAAGCCGAGCAUAAAACACAAAUCUCUCUAAUUUUUAGUUUUUCUCAACAGUUCUUCUAUUUAUAUAAGGCUGAUAAGAAAGCAUGCAAUGAUAAUAUUAUGCUCUUUUUCGGAUUUCUUUUCUCGUACACAGAGAUUUUCACUUGCUAAAAUCUUAUCAAUUUUAGCACUCCAUUUAUUUUUGUAAAGAAGGGCUUGAAAGAUUUAAACGAAAGGUAUCUUCACUCCCACGUGGUAUAGUUUGAGAGAUUCGAACUUAAAAUAAAUUUAUCUAUGGUUUCCCUGUUUUCGAAACGAAAGGUAAAGGUUAAACAGCAGGAAAGGAAGAGGUCCCGUAGGAAGUAAAUUAAUCAUCAUGCUAGCAUUUUCAACUUGUCCGCUAUAGGGCUCUCCUUUCUUACAAAAGGUGGCAAAGUGCUCGCAAUUGUUUAUAGCAAUAUUAUAUUCGCCGAACCCACGUUCCAGUAGGUUAUAGGCCAUCUUCACAACUUCAUUACUUGGUUUUGAGUUUCCAAUAUAACACUGCAACUGCAAUUCGUCCUUUUUCAGGAAACAAUCAAGACAGGUUUUCACCACUCCAAGAUUCACAUUCUCUACAUGCCCACAUACUUGGCAAGCCUUGUUUUUAGACCACCUACUAGCAGUGGAGACUGAGCCCACAACGCCUCCAUUUGUUGUGGAGUUGAAGUGAAUCACGUACCUGACGCCAUUGACCUCACCCACAUAUAUUCCAUGGUGGGCGUAUCCAGCAGCCCUGCAAGCAUAGAUGUGAUCACCCACUUUGAGAUCGUCAGGAUCAACCACUACCAUUUCCCUCAAAUUAUCAAUUCUCUCAAUAUGUAGCUGAAUGGUGAUUGAUUGCUGUCUCUCAUUUUGUAAUUGCAGUUGCGUACACUUAUAUUGUCCUCCUACAGGCUUGAGUAAUUUACUUCUUAGAAUCUGAUCCUAAUGACUUUAGUCAGGAAUUUUUAUUAUUG